ACGCUGGCGGCUGCCUACACAUGCAAGUCGAACGAGAAAGUUCCUUCGGGAGCAAUUAAAGUGGCGCACGGGUGAGUAACGCGUAGACAAUCUACCCUUCAGUCCGGGACAACUUUUCGAAAGAAGAGCUAAUACCGGAUAACAAUGUUUAACCUAAGUUAAGUAUUUGAAAGCUUUAUGUGCUGAAGGAGGGGUCUGCGUCCCAUUAGCUAGUUGGUAAGGUAAAGGCUUACCAAGGCGACGAUGGGUAGCGGGUUUGAGAGGACGAUCCGCCACACUGGAACUGAGACACGGUCCAGACUCCUACGGGAGGCAGCAGUGGGGAAUAUUGCACAAUGGAGGCAACUCUGAUGCAGCAAUGUCGCGUGAGUGAAGAAGGCCCUUGGGUCGUAAAGCUCUUUUAUGGGGGAAGAUGAUGACGGUACCCCAAGAAUAAGCACCGGCUAACUAUGUGCCAGCAGCCGCGGUAAUACAUAGGGUGCGAGCGUUGUUCGGAAUUACUGGGCGUAAAGGGCGCGCAGGCGGAAUAGUAAGUCGGAGGUGAAAGCCCGGGGCUCAACCCCGGAGGGUCUUUCGAAACUGCUAAUCUAGAGAGGGUCAGGGGCCGGCAGAAUUCCUGGUGUAGAGGUGAAAUUCGUAGAUAUCAGGAGGAAUACCGGUGGCGAAGGCGGCCGGCUGGGGCCACUCUGACGCUGAGGCGCGAAAGCGUGGGGAGCAAACAGGAUUAGAUACCCUGGUAGUCCACGCCGUAAACGAUGAGCACUGGACGUCCGGAGGGUUCGACCCUUCUGGGUGUCUCAGCUAACGCAUUAAGUGCUCCGCCUGGGGAGUACGGUCGCAAGACUAAACUCAAAUGGAUGCG
rnacentral:rRNA from 1 species